CAAAUAUUCUGCAUUCAUGCAGCAUCCGAGCAAGGGCUGCACCCUAAGGGUUGUGAUCUGGACAGCCUACCAUAAUGCAAGCAUUAACGGUUGUUUCCACAGCUCGAACCCGUGACCUAUAGCUCACACGGAGACAACUCUACCGUUUCUCCAAGGUUUGGACAGAAAGAGAAGGGGUUCGGAACCUAUUGAACAUGGUGGGUAAAGAAGUUAUGAUGAAAGGGUUUAUGGUAGGUUCAUAUCAUAACCACUUUGAGGAAUUCAUAAAAGAAGUUUACUUGAAAGUGGGCAAAAUAAAAUCCAAACACAAAAUCUACAAUGGUAUUGAGAGUUUUUUGGAGAGUUUAGCAUCUCUAUUUUCUAACUCUAAUGUCGGAAAAGUAAUUCUUCAAGUAACUCCUUAAACUACCUCUCCCUUUGCCCUCCCUAUUAUCCUUGGAAUAAAUAAGCAAAAACAAAAUGACAAUAUAUGUCUAUUUAUGCUUGUUAGCUAUGUUUGUUCUUUUGAGGAAAAUGUUACUCUCGAUCUGUAAAAGGAGGUAUAAGGAUGGUUGUUUAUAUAUUUAUGUCAAUUUGCGUUGACUAACAAAAAAAAAAACAGAUUGGCGGUUG